rnacentral:rRNA from 1 species
UACGUAGGGUGCAAGCGUUGUCCGGAAUUAUUGGGCGUAAAGAGCUCGUAGGCGGUCUGUCGCGUCUGCUGUGAAAACCCAGGGCUUAACUCUGGGCGUGCAGUGGGUACGGGCAGGCUAGAGUGCGGUAGGGGAGACUGGAAUUCCACGUGUAGCGGUGAAAUGCGCAGAUAUCAGGAGGAACACCGGUGGCGAAGGCGGGUCUCUGGGCCGAUACUGACGCUGAGGAGCGAAAGCGUGGGGAGCGAACAGG